rnacentral:rRNA from 1 species
GUAGUCAUAUGCUUGUCUCAAAGACUAAGCCAUGCAUGUCUAAGUAUAAACACCUUUAUACUGCGAAACUGCGAACGGCUCAUUAUAUCAGUUAUAAUCUACUUGAUCGUAUCCUCUUACUUGGAUGACCGUAGUAAUUCUAGAGCUAAUACAUGCAAAAGUUCCCGACUGGUGACGGAAGGGAAGUAUUUAUUAGGUCCAAAAUCAAUGCUGGCCAUUCCAAACUGGGGCAACCUGGGGUCAGGAAAAGUUGAUGAUUCAUAAUAACUAAACGAAGCGCAGGGCUCGUCUCGGCGCUGAUACAAACGAGUUUCUGCCCUAUCAACUUUCGAUGGUAGUAUAGGGGACUACCAUGGUCGCAACGGGUAACGGGGAAU